AUCGCUUCUCGGCCUUUUGGCUAAGAUCAAAUGUAGUAUCU
rnacentral:snRNA from 1 species